GAUGAAGAACGUAGCGAAAUGCGAUAAGUAAUGCGAAUUGCAGAAUUUCCGUGAGUCAUCGAAUCUUUGAACGCACAUUGCGCCCACUGGUAUUCCGGUGGGCAUGCCUGUUCGAGCGUCAUUAUCCUCCCUCAAACCUCGGGUUUGGUGUUGGACCCAAGUUGUGUGAACAACUGGUCUCAAAGACAAUGACGGCGUCCGUGGGACCCUCGGUGCAACGAGCUUUUAGGAGCACGCGUCGAGUUUCAAGGACCUUCCGGGCUGGUCUCCUUUACUAUUUUUACAAGGUUGACCUCGGAUCAGGUAGGAAUACCCGCUGAACUUAAGCAUAUCAAUAAGCGGAGGA
rnacentral:misc_RNA from 1 species